rnacentral:rRNA from 1 species
AGCGAACGCUGGCGGCAGGCCUAACACAUGCAAGUCGAACGAACUCUUCGGAGUUAGUGGCGGACGGGUGAGUAACACGUGGGAACGUGCCUUUUGGUUCGGAAUAACUCAGGGAAACUUGUGCUAAUACCGAAUGUGCCCUUCGGGGGAAAGAUUUAUCGCCAUUAGAGCGGCCCGCGUCUGAUUAGCUAGUUGGUGAGGUAACGGCUCACCAAGGCGACGAUCAGUAGCUGGUCUGAGAGGAUGACCAGCCACACUGGGACUGAGACACGGCCCAGACUCCUACGGGAGGCAGCAGUGGGGAAUCUUGCGCAAUGGGCGAAAGCCUGACGCAGCCAUGCCGCGUGAAUGAUGAAGGUCUUAGGAUUGUAAAAUUCUUUCACCGGUGACGAUAAUGACGGUACCCGGAGAAGAAGCCCCGGCUAACUUCGUG